rnacentral:rRNA from 1 species
ACAGCAGCCGCCGCGGUAAUACGUAGGGUGCAAGCGUUAAUCGGAAUUACUGGGCGUAAAGCGUGCGCAGGCGGUUGUGUAAGACAGGUGUGAAAUCCCCGGGCUUAACCUGGGAACUGCGCUUGUGACUGCACAGCUAAAGUAUGGCAGAGGGGGGUGGAAUUCCACGUGUAGCAGUGAAAUGCGUAGAGAUGUGGAGGAAUACCGAUGGCGAAGGCAGCCCCCUGGGCCAAUACUGACGCUCAUGCACGAAAGCGUGGGGAGCAAACAGGAUUAGAUACCCCUGUAGUCCCUGUCUCUUAUAC